rnacentral:rRNA from 1 species
UACGAACCGUCCUAACGUUAUUCGGAAUCACUGGGCUUAAAGGGUGCGUAGGCGGCCCGGAAAGUUGGGUGUGAAAUCCCUCGGCUUAACCGAGGAAUUGCGCUCAAAACUACCGGGCUUGAGGGAGACAGAGGUGAGCGGAACUUAGGGUGGAGCGGUGAAAUGCGUUGAUAUCCUAAGGAACACCGGGGGCGAAAGCGGCUCACUGGGUCUUUUCUGACGCUGAGGCACGAAAGCUAGGGGAGCGAAC